CUCCCCGUACACAGAUCGUCUUCCUCCCCCUUUGCCAGAUUUUGUACCAGUACAUCCUCCUGAGCUAGGGUUCAGGUCCAGCGAGCUCAAGAUCGAUCUCAGAUCUUAAUGAAACGCGGUUGUCUCUCCCUCUUCUAUACCACUCAGGUGAAUUAGGGUUAUUAAAUUUCGAUCGUUCUCUCUGAACAAUCUGCCGUUGCCGCCGCCGCGGUCGCUGUCGCCGUCAGCACUAUCCAUCGGCAGCAGCUCAAGGAUGUAGGUCAUUAUGGAGUCUUAUUGCCUGGAGACGGUAAAUCUGUUGAAGACGAGGACGACGAGCAGGGCUGCAAUUCUUCAUGUUCUUAUGCGCAUGCAGGACAAAGCAGAUAACCGAAGUUGUUGCAUCCAAGAUAAAUGCAUAAAAAGACGCCUCACCAUCUCGGAUUCUUGGUUGCAUAGGGAAUGUGAAGCAUCACCCUCCUUCACAGAUCGUGGGUGGUAUGAAUUAGGAGAUCAAAGAAUCCAGAGCCUGAGCUAUGACUGGGUAAUCUUCAGAGGAGUCAUCUUCAUAGGUCUCCAAGAUGGCAUCUGAUGAAACUGAUAAUUUCACCUCUCGUACUAGCCCAGAUCGUGGGUGGUUGUCUCAGGCUUCGGUUUUUUUGGCACCAUGUAAUCAGCAAGAACGUACGUUUGCUAGAAAAUCUUGUAUCCAAGUUUUCUUUAGUUUAGAUGAGUGGUUGUUGUACAAUUUAUCCGGAUGCUUGUGUUAUUCCGAUGUGAAAGACGUGAUGUUCUUGCAUAUAAGCAUCUAAAGAAAAUUUAUUCAGAGAU